UACGUAGGGGGCAAGCGUUGUCCGGAUUUAUUGGGCGUAAAGAGCGUGUAGGCGGCCUGACAGGUCUGCUGUGAAAACUCGAGGCUCAACCUCGAGAUGUCGGCGGAAACCGUCUGGCUAGAGUCCGGAAGAGGAGAGUGGAAUUCCUGGUGUAGCGGUGAAAUGCGCAGAUAUCAGGAGGAACACCUAUUGCGAAGGCAGCUCGCUGGGACGUAACUGACGCUGAGACGCGAAAGCGUGGGGAGCGAACAGG
rnacentral:rRNA from 1 species